rnacentral:piRNA from 1 species
CAGACAAGGAUGGAAAGAGCCUG